ensembl:lncRNA
UCCCACAGUGCUUUACUGAAUAUAGCAUUUCUAAUUGCCUGAAGGUCUCAAAAAGGAAUUUAGUUGAACACUGCAGAGUGUAUGUAAGAAAUAAUGUUUUCUACCAUAUACUGGUAAGGGAAUAGUUCACACGAGGACUGAUUACCCACACGGAUUUGGAAGUGGUGGUUCGUUUGGUCAGCUGCCUCUUGCUCUGGGACAAAAUACAGCUUGGUGAGGCUCACCCUGAGGAGAUAACAGAGGUAUUUUUUUUUUUUUUCAGUCUUUUCCUGCACCAAAAAUCUAGUGGCAGAUAAUUAUUUUAGUCUCUGACUUUUUAAAUUUUGAAGAGAUUUUAUUUUUUACUGGUGCUACAUAUCUAGAGGCAGAGAGUCUUCAGGGUGAGUGGGAGCUGAGGUCUGAGAAGCCAGACAUCUGUGAUUUGCUUCAGGUUUGAGAGUCUGAUUGCUUCCUAGGAACCUGAUUCUGGCUCAUAUGACUAUCAAAAUCUGGUCUGCUUCCACCUAAUCGUCUGCAGCAUGCCCUAUUUUUUCAGGGGAGGAGUGCAAUAUCAGCAAUCCAUCAAGGCCUUAUCUGAGUUUAGUACCAUUAUCAGAUGCAUAUAUUCUUUAAAAAAAGACUUGAUUCCUCCUAGAGAGGAAAAUGGGGUCAGUUUGCUGUGUCCUGUAAGCAGUGCAUACAGUUUCACAAUUCCAUAAUCCAGGUAUCCUUGUUUAAUUCAAUUCAUGAUUUUUAAUAACAUGUCCAUCUUCAGUGCUGUCUGUGGGGAUUGUCCUGAACAAGAAUACAAAAUAAGAGAAAGCAAACAGAAAAAUAUAAAUUACUUCCAUUGUUUCUGUUUUCCCUUCUUCCUUCUCUGCACUUAGGACAGUUAGCUUUGUUCCCAAAACCCAUCUUCCUUCCCACUCUGCUGCCUCUAAAUUUCAUCUUCAUGCUAGCUUUGUCUCAAAAAAAAAAAAAAAUAAUAAUAAUAAUAAAAAAUCCUUUUACCUGGAACCUGAUUUUAAUUUAAAAUUAAGAAGUUUCCAUUCAUUUAUUUCAACAAAAAAAUGUCCCACUCUUGUGAAUAUUAGGUUUUAAGUGCUUUUAGUUCAUUCUAGCUUUUACAGAUUUAUCAGUUUUUAGAUGUAUUGUGCUUCUGCCUCCAGAGUGAUUCACGUUAGUGUAAAAAGUCUGGUGUUUCUCAGGCUUGAGAUUUCAAUAAUACAAAGAGGGGAAAUUGUUCCUAAGCUAGCAAAGAAAAAGACCUUGUGAACAAAAUAUUUAACAUCUAGAGGAAUUUUCUCUGACUAUUGAAAACUGAUGCUUUUUUUUUUUUUCUGCUAAUGUGCUAAAAAUGAGUUAAAUACAAACUUGAGUUAGGCUCUGUAAUGAGCAGUCCUAAUUAUCCACUUGGAUGGCCUUUUCAUUUCUCUCCCGGUUCUAAAUGCACACUUGGGUCCCUUAAUUCUUCUGCUCUGCUCUCUUUUUUUCCCCACAGUUUCUCUGUGCUGAUAGGGGCUCACUGCAUGAAAAGUC